rnacentral:rRNA from 1 species
CCUACGGGAGGCAGCAGUGGGGAAUAUUGGACAAUGGGGGGAACCCUGAUCCAGCCAUGCCGCGUGUGUGAAGAAGGCCCUCGGGUUGUAAAGCACUUUCAGUGAGGAAGAACGCCUGGUGGUUAAUACCCAUCAGGAAAGACAUCACUCCCAGAAGAAGCACCGGCUAACUCCGUGCCAGCAGCCGCGGUAAUACGGAGGGUGCGAGCGUUAAUCGGAAUUACUGGGCGUAAAGCGCGCGUAGGUGGCUUGAUAAGCCGGUUGUGAAAGCCCCGGGCUCAACCUGGGAACGGCAUCCGGAACUGUCAAGCUAGAGUGCAGGAGAGGAAGGUAGAAUUCCCGGUGUAGCGGUGAAAUGCGUAGAGAUCGGGAGGAAUACCAGUGGCGAAGGCGGCCUUCUGGACUGACACUGACACUGAGGUGCGAAAGCGUGGGUAGCAAACAGGAUUAGAUACCCGGGUAGUC